rnacentral:rRNA from 1 species
GAGGGCUCAAGCGUUGUUCGGAUUCAUUGGGCGUAAAGGGGGCGUAGGCGGCGCGGUAAGUCGGGUGCGAAAUCUCGGAGCUUAACUCCGAAACUGCAUUCGAUACUGCCGUGCUUGAGGACUGGAGAGGAGACUGGAAUUUACGGUGUAGCGGUGAAAUGCGUAGAUAUCGUAAGGAAGACCAGUGGCGAAGGCGGGUCUCUGGACAGUUCCUGACGCUGAGGCACGAAGGUCAGGGGAGCAAACGGG